GACGAACGCUGGCGGCGUGCUUAACACGUGCAAGUCGAACGGUAAGGCCCUUCGGGGUACACGAGUGGCGAACGGGUGAGUAACACGUGGGUGAUCUGCCCUGCACUUCGGGAUAAACCUGGGAAACUGGGUCUAAUACCGGAUAGGACCACUGCCUGCAUGGGUGGUGGUGGAAAGCUUUUGCGGUGUGGGAUGGACCCGCGGCCUAUCAGCUUGUUGGUGGGGUGAUGGCCUACCAAGGCGACGACGGGUAGCCGGCCUGAGAGGGUGACCGGCCACACUGGGACUGAGAUACGGCCCAGACUCCUACGGGAGGCAGCAGUGGGGAAUAUUGCACAAUGGGCGCAAGCCUGAUGCAGCGACGCCGCGUGAGGGAUGACGGCCUUCGGGUUGUAAACCUCUUUCAGCACCGACGAAGCGCAAGUGACGGUAGGUGCAGAAGAAGGACCGGCCAACUACGUGCCAGCCGCCGCAGUAA
rnacentral:rRNA from 1 species